rnacentral:rRNA from 1 species
UACGUAGGUGGCAAGCGUUGUCCGGAAUUAUUGGGCGUAAAGCGCGCGCAGGCGGCCUCCUAAGUCCGAUGUGAAAGCCCACGGCUCAACCGUUGAGGGUCAUUGGAAACUGGGGGUCUUGAGUGCAGGAGAGAAGAGUGGAAUUCCACGUGUAGCGGUGAAAUGCGUAGAGAUGUGGAGGAACACCAGUGGCGAAGGCGACUCUUUGGCCUGUAACUGACGCUGAGGCGCGAAAGCGUGGGGAGCAAACAGG